GCCAGGUGUGGUGGCACACACCUGUAAUCCCAAUGACUUGGGAGGCUGAGGCAGGCGGAUCACUUAAUUUGAGGCCAGCCUCAGCAACUUAGCGAGACCCUGUCUCAA
rnacentral:sRNA from 1 species